GACGAACCGAGCGAACGUUGUUCGGAAUCACUGGGCUUAAAGGGCGCGUAGGCGGCAAUUCAAGUCAUCUGUGAAAUCUCCGGGCUUAACCCGGAACGGUCAGAUGAUACUGCUUUGCUAGAGUGCGGAAGGGGCAAUCGGAAUUCUCGGUGUAGCGGUGAAAUGCGUAGAUAUCGAGAGGAACACCUGAGGUGAAGACGGGUUGCUGGGCCGACACUGACGCUGAGUGCGCGAAAGCCAGGGGAGCAAACGGG
rnacentral:rRNA from 1 species